UCAGAAGAGUUAGGUAGAGCAUUGCCUCUAAAUGGAGAGAUAGAGAGAAGCUGAGGCUUGCUAUCCACAGUAGCUUUGUGUGUGUUACCCAGAAAUGGAAAGUGAAAAACAGACACUUGUAACCAUGAGUGGUGAGACUUGCUGUGAGUCAAGAAGAAGCAAGGCUUUCAUGGGCAAAGACAUCUAUAAUCAUAACAGGAGAGAACUGGAACAAGAAUUGGAGCAUGGAGGGUGUGGAAUGGACACUACCAUGCGCGAGCCCUGCUGUGCUCUAUGGGGUAUGGAAGCUGGUGAUGGGUCCUUGUGAGGUCAUCAUCUUCAGUAGCAGUUGCAGAACAUCCAUGUCUUGAUGCUCGUGGGGCUCUUCAAGUAGAGAAGAUAGCAAAUGAGAAGAAAUAAUACGUAGAACUGUUGUGAAUGGCAACUGGAAUGGGGAAGAGGACAUUGUUAGCCAAGAUUAUUUUCUUUAUGUACAUAUGCGACUGUGUGUUCUUUUAUGCACAGUGGUAUAUUUAUACCUAUUUGUGACUAUUAGCAUUUUCCUUUUGUUCCCAACAAAUGUUGUGACAUUUCUGUGACAACAAUGCUUUAAAUUUGUUACUUUGUUAUAAUUGAACUGUAACUAAGAAGAAGUAAAGGUAGCACUGAAGUUGUGACUCAGAGGCUUGGUCCCACCUGCACUGCGCACCCGCAACAACAAUCACCACCACCUUACUUUACAUAACAGAGUAGAAACAUUGCUAGUUCCUUAAGAAGUAUCUAUGAAAUUUUAUUUCCUAAUUUUGUGGGAAUCAUCAUUUAUAGUUGAGCUCAUCAGGUGGUACUUAACUUACAUAAUCUGUGAAUUAAAGAAACAAUCUUUUUAAUGUGGUCCUAGUCAGAAUGGAUCCUCUUUGGCCUUUUACACAAACAAUCGUAAGAAGAAGAGGAAAUAAUGUGCUUCCCCAGUAUUCUUAAACAAUGUAUCAAGAUUGAAAUUAAACAGAAUUUUACAAAAUAUCAGAGGCAGGCCAGCGAUAUAGCUCAGUGACUUAAGCACCUGCCUGGCAAGCACAAGGUCCUGAGUUCAGUUCCCAGUACAAAAAAAAAAAAAAAUUCAGAGGCAUUGUCUCCAUUUAGUAGAUUUCAAAUAUGGUAAUGUUGGAAAUGUUCUUUUCGCAGUUAUUAUGCAUUUGAAGGCAAAUACUGACUAUGCAAUUUUUCUUAAAGCUCUGUGUUUUGGUGAUCUAUGUGCACCUAUGUUCAUAGCAUCACAAUUUGUUAUUGUUAAAUUGUGGAAGCAA